rnacentral:rRNA from 1 species
GACAGAGGGUGCAAACGUUGCUCGGAUUUACUGGGCGUAAAGCGCAUGUAGGCGGGCGAUUAAGUCGGGUGUGAAAUCCCUGGGCUCAACCUAGGAACUGCAUCCGAAACUGAUCACCUUGAGUAGUGGAGAGGAAAGCGGAAUUCCGGGUGUAGAGGUGAAAUUCGUAGAUAUCCGGAGGAACACCAGUGGCGAAGGCGGCUUUCUGGACGACUAACUGACGCUGAGAUGCGAAAGCGUGGGGAGCAAACAGG